UGCCAAUGUUACAACUCUCCACAAGAGACCAAAUGACACUGAAAUGUACAUCUAUAGGUCACUGUACUGCCUUCAACAAUGAGCAAAGCCAUACCGCAUAGUCAGCUAUAAAAGGCCCCGAAAUGACAUAUGUAAAACAAUUCAAACGAGAAAACAAACGACCUAAUUUAUGUACAAAAUAAUGAACGAAAACAAAUAUGUUACAUAGCAACAAACUAAAUUACAGACUACUUGACUCGGGGCAAGAACAUACAGAAUGUGGUCAGGUUAAACUCGUUUAAAG
rnacentral:lncRNA from 1 species